GACGAACGCUGGCGGCGUGCUUAACACGUGCAAGUCGAACGAAGAGCGAUGGAAGCUUGCUUCUAUCAAUCUUAGUGGCGCACGGGUGAGUAACGCGUAAUCAACCUGCCCUUCAGAGGGGGACAACAGUUGGAAACGACUGCUAAUACCGCAUACGAUCUAAUCUCGGCAUCGAGGAUAGAUGAAAGGUGGCCUCUACAUGUAAGCUAUCACUGACGGAGGGGAUUGCGUCUGAUUAGCUAGUUGGAGGGGUAACGGCCAACCAAGGCGAUGAUCAGUAGCCGGUCUGAGAGGAUGAACGGCCACAUUGGGACUGAGACACGGCCCAGACUCCUACGGGAGGCAGCAGUGGGGAAUCUUCCGCAAUGGACGAAAGUCUGACGGAGCAACGCCGCGUGAGUGAUGACGGCCUUCGGGUUGUAAAGCUCUGUUAAUCGGGACGAAAGGCCUUCUUGCGAAUAGUGAGAAGGAUUGACGGUACCGGAAUAGAAAGCCACGGCUAACUACGUG
rnacentral:rRNA from 1 species